CCUACGGGUGGCUGCAGUAGGGAAUAUUGGGCAAUGGGCGGAAGCCUGACCCAGCCAUGCCGCGUGAAGGAAGACGGCCUUAUGGGUUGUAAACUUCUGAACUAGCCGAAUAAAAGGCCUGUGGACACACAGGAGAAGAAAGUAGGCUAGGAAAAGUCCCGGCUAACUACGUGCCAGCAGCCGCGGUAAGACGUAGGGGGCAAGCGUUACCCGGAAUUACUGGGCGUAAAGGGGGCGUAGGCGGUAAAAGAAGUCAUCUGUGAAAACCUAUUGCUCAACGAUAGGCUAGCGGAUGGAACUGAAUUACUUGAGGGCACCAGAGGUAGACGGAAUUACCCGAGUAGGGGUGAAAUCCGCAGAUACGGGUAGGAACGCCGGUGGAGAAGUCGGUCUACUGGGGUGCACCAGACGCUGAGGCCCGAAAGCGAGGGGAGCAAACCGGAUUAGAUACCCUAGUAGUC
rnacentral:rRNA from 1 species